rnacentral:rRNA from 1 species
UACGUAGGGAGCAAGCGUUGUCCGGAAUCAUUGGGCGUAAAGAGCGCGUAGGCGGCCCGGUAAGUCCGCUCUGAAAGUCAAAGGCUCAACCUUUGAAAGCGGGUGGAUACUGCCGGGCUAGAGUCCGGAAGAGGCGAGUGGAAUUCCUGGUGUAGCGGUGGGAUGCGCAGAUAUCAGGAGGAACACCAACGGCGAAGGCAGCUCGCUGGGACGGUACUGACGCUGAGGCGCGAAAGCGUGGGGAGCGAACAGG